rnacentral:snRNA from 1 species
AGCUUUGCACAGUGGCAGUACCAUAGCCAAUGAGGUUUAUCUGAGGCACAAUUAUUGUUAAUUGAAAACUCUUCCCAAUACCCCGUCAUGACGACUUGAAAUAUACUCGGCAUUGGCAAUGUUUGACAGUCUCUAUGGAGA